AUUGAACGCUGGCGGCAUGCCUUACACAUGCAAGUCGAACGGUAGAGUAGCAAUACUCGAGAGUGGCGAACGGGUGAGUAAUAUAUCGGAACGUGCCCAGUCGUGGGGGAUAACGUAGAGAAAUUUACGCUAAUACCGCAUACGAUCUAAGGAUGAAAGCGGGGGGAUUCGCAAGAACCUCGCGCGAUUGGAGCGGCUGAUAUCAGAUUAGGUUGUUGGUGAGGUAAAAGCUCACCAAGCCGACGAUCUGUAGCUGGUUUGAGAGAACGACCAGCCACACUGGGACUGAGACACGGCCCAGACUCCUACGGGAGGCAGCAGUGGGGAAUAUUGGACAAUGGGCGAAAGCCUGAUCCAGCAAUGCCGCGUGCAGGAUGAAGGCC
rnacentral:rRNA from 1 species